rnacentral:lncRNA from 1 species
CACACGCUGGGAAAAAAGUUAUCUGGGGAGGGCAAAAGUUAUAUGAGCGGAUUUUCACCAUCCAAACGCCAGAUAAAAAAAGUUAUCCGGAGGAAAAAUUAUCCACACCCUUUAUCCUCCAGCCAAACAAGUCCUAAGAACCGUGGUAUUAAAGCUAUUGAAAAAGGAAGCCGUCAAAAUUCGGUGACUGCUACUAAAAUUACACUUGCCAUGUAUUUAAAUUAAGGCCGAAUUCGGAGUAUGUUUUUUUUUUUGGGAUGGUCUCAUAAUUUUCAGGUCUUUUGUAUAUGUUGAAUUUUUUGUCGUUUGGUCAAAACUUUAUAUUUGUCAAAAAUAUAAAAAAUUUAUCUAAAUUUUGGGAUAAAAAUACCUUUUUUCAUCUUUAUUGAAUUUUUUUUCAUAUUAGAUAAAAAUAUUUAUAGUUUCGAACUAUUCUCAUCAUAAGAGAAACCGAAAAGUAUAAAAUUUCUAUCAAACUACGAAAAAAAAUAACUAUAAACAAAAAACUCAAAAAUCAGGAGCAAAAAAAGUAAGAAAAAAACUUAUCCCAAAAUAGGCCUAAGAACUUAGAGAGAGGUUUGUGUAGAAAAAAAGAAAAAAAAGUAAAUAAAAGAGAUCAAAACUAAACCAUUAGAUUCCUUAACUUUUUCUCUUUUUUUCCCCUUUUCUUCUACUGAAUCCUUGUAAAAGAUUAAGUGGAAGAAAAAAAAAAGUUAAGGGAUCUAACGAUUCAAAUUUAAUAUUUUAUUAACUUUUCUCUAAAUCCUUGAUUUAAAUAUAGGCUUAAAUAAUUUUGAUACUCUAUUUUUAUAUAAAUGCAUCUUAUUUUUUACUAGUAAUUGUCCAUGUUUACUUGCACUACGCAAAACAAAAAAAUUAGUAGGUGUACUCGUUAGAGUUUUACAAUCUAAAAAAUAUAAAAAAAAAAGUCAGAUAACAUAUACAUUGCAUGCAUAUACGAAAAUAUAUAUUGUUAUAAAAUAGAGAAUAAAUUAUAAAAUAUAAUAAUUUUAAAAAAAUAUUACUCAUUUCAGAGAAAUGAAGAGGAAAGAAAUGUUUGUUUUAAUUUUUAUUUAUGAGUCCCACUAAAAAAAUAAUUCAAUAUAUAAAACAUAUACCCAUCUUUAAAAAAAAAAUAGCCAUUGGAUCGUAAUUUAUGUGGGGCACACACUUUUGAGAAGAAGGAAGUGAUAUUUUUUAAAAAAAAAUAAUAAUUUCAUGUGAAAUCUCAGUUGUUGGAUUAAUUCAAAUGGAUUUCAACCGUAGAUAGUGAAAGGUAGUUUUGAGAUUCAAAAUAAAUUGUGUUUUAUAUUAUAGAUUUUUAUUAUACAAAAUUACAAUAUAAUUAUUCCAUUUAACUAGUUUCUAUAUAAUUUUUAUUGAAAUAUAGGGAUGAAUUUGUAACUUUACCUAAUAAAAAAUAGAAAAGAGAGUGUACUUGUACAAAAGAAAUGAAUAUAUAGUAAUGAGCAAUGCUAUAGUGAGUGAAAAGUGUACUGAAGUAUCUACUGAAUGCACCAAAAGACUCUGUUUUAGUGCAAAAAAUAAAAAAAAUUAGUGGAAACCAUCAAUAGGCCGAAGUUUUUGUCCGUUUUUGUGCAUUCGGUAAACACUUCGGUACACUUUUCGAUCACUGUAGCAUUACUGUGGAAUUAUCAUGAUUGUUAAAAUCUCGGUCCAAAUCAUAGGAUCAUGCAAUCAUAUGAUCUUACUUUGAUCCAACGAUCCAAAUCACAUCAUGAAAGUUCGCAUAAUAGUAUCCGUGUGAGGAUAACGCACUGGAUAAUUGGAUCGCCUCAAAUGAAUGAAAAAUAGGAGAUUUAUAGAAUUUAAUAAGAUUGCAGAAUGUUUGAAUUAUUAACUUGGCCUUUUGGGUACAUAUUAAAAUGGGACCCAACGCCCAGCUAAUCAUGCUCUUGCUCACAGACCAUAAUUGCCCAAUCUUUUUUUAAGACCUUUUGCAAUUGAAACCUAUGAUUGCUACUUUAAUUAUACCCUCCUCGUUUUAUUUAUUUUUUAUUUCUUUUAAAUAGAGAAAUUCGAAAAAACUUUUUCACUUUGAAUUUUAAGUACAAAGUUUAUAAGCUUUCACAAUUACUAUAAAUAAGUUUUAAAAAAAUAUUGGAAAGUCGAAAAUAAAGAGGCAAUAUUGGUCUACGAAAUGUCGUUAUGCACACGAAUUUUGGACUAUGCAUGUUUAUCAGAGGAGUAAUGCUACAGGCACUAAAUAGUUUACAAACUGGUAUAUUAAAUAUUCACUCUUGAGAAGAACAUCCGGCCACAAGCUCUGUCAUCAAAUUGACAUUAAAACCAAUGGCUGAGAUUUCAUGCCCAAAAUUACUUCCUCAAUCGCUAGAGAAUUAUCACCUAAAAUAACUCCUAAACAAGGGAAAUAAUCUCCAUGACCACGGCACUAGAUCUUUAUAAUAUAAGUUGACUGCCAGCACAUGUUAUUAAUUUCAGUCUCUCUUGAGCAUUCUCUCUCAUUUCCAUUAUAAUC